GAUGAACGCUAGCGGGAGGCUUAACACAUGCAAGUCGAGGGGCAGCACGGGUAGCAAUACCUGGUGGCGACCGGCGCAAGGGUGCGUAACGCGUGAGCAACAUGCCCUAUACAGGGGGAUAAUCCAGGGAAACUUGGUCUAAUAUCCCAUAGUAUUUAGAGGAGGCAUCUUCUAUAAAUUAAAGCUUCGGUGGUAUAGGAUUGGCUCGCGUGACAUUAGCUAGAUGGUGAGGUAACGGCUCACCAUGGCAAUGAUGUCUAGGGGUUCUGAGAGGAAGGCCCCCCACACUGGGACUGAGACACGGCCCAGACUCCUACGGGAGGCAGCAGUGAGGAAUAUUGGACAAUGGAUGGAAAUCUGAUCCAGCCAUGCCGCGUGCAGGAAGACAGCCCUAUGGGUUGUAAACUGCUUUUAAUGGGAGCAAUAAGGUCUACGUGUAGACUGAUGAGAGUACCAUAUGAAUAAGC
rnacentral:rRNA from 1 species